CUACGGGGGGUGCAAGCGUUGUCCGGAAUCAUUGGGCGUAAAGGGUUCGUAGGUGGAAUUAUAAGUCUGGUGUGAAAGCCCACAGCUCAACUGUGGAACUGCACUGGAUACUGUUUUUCUUGAGUUAUAGAGGGGUUUGUGGAAUUUCUGGUGUAGAGGUGAAAUUUGUAGAGAUCAGAAUGAACACCGGUGGCGAAGGCGACAAACUGGCUAUUAACUGACACUGAGGAACGAAAGCGUGGGGAGCGAACAGGAUUAGAUACCCUAGUAGUCC
rnacentral:rRNA from 1 species